UACAGAGGGGGCAAGCGUUAUUCGGAAUUAUUGGGCGUAAAGCGUGCGCAGGCGGUUCGUUAAGUCUGAUGUGAAAGCCCCGGGCUCAACCUGGGAAUGGCAUUGGAAACUAGCGGGCUCGAGUGUGGCAGAGGAGACUGGAAUUCCUGGUGUAGCAGUGAAAUGCGUAGAUAUCAGGAGGAACACCGAUGGCGAAGGCAGGUCUCUGGGCUGACACUGACGCUCAUGCACGAAAGCGUGGGGAGCAAACAGG
rnacentral:rRNA from 1 species